GGUGUGCAUAUACACUCAGAGUAACAUUGCAAGCAUCAUAUUCACCUGAGUACAUUACACCAACACAGAAAAAAUCUAGAAUCGUGUCCAAAUUCAACGAAACUGCAAGAAAACCCGAGCUAUGGUAUGGGCAGUAAUAUACACCUAUUUUCUGAAAUCCUACCAUCGCAAGUCCCCCCCCCCGGAAUUUUUUUUGGGGGUUUGUUACCACUAACAUAUGUGCCACUUGACUUUGAUAACAACAUAAGAGAAUAGAAAAUUUGAUAUGUUUAAAAUAUUUAAUAUCCUUCCUUUAAGGGUUUACCUUAAUUUAAAGACAAUCCUGGAAAAAAAUUAGUAGACUUCUUAAAU